ensembl:lncRNA
GGGCGACCUGCCCCUUGGAAGAAACACCUGGAGUCGGUGAGCAGCGGGGUUCUUUCCACUGUGACUGCCACGGUGCUGCAAGUCACCGCCAUGGUUCUGCAAGUCGUGGGAACGGGCGCCGGGCGCCGCUUCUCAGGGCAGAGCCCACGCGGGCAGCAGCGGCCUCAGGAGGAGCCCUCUGCUUGGCCUGGGGAGCUGGCGGGCUGGCUGGACCCAUGGAGGAGCUGCCCAAGCAGACACAACAGUGGGAAAAGCCAAAGGAAAGAGAAUCCUUCCAUGUGACCGGUCGGAAGAGUCUAGUGCGGCUGGCGGGCUGUCCGGGGCGAGCGGUUAGGCUCUCUAGGUGAGUGAGACCUUGAGGGCUGGACUGAGGGAUUGGAGGACAGCAGGGAGCUGCUGAAGAUUGUUAGCAAGAAAGGGACUAGUGAGUUGGCUUUUUCCCUGGGGGCUCCGGGGAGCCAGUGAGGAGGCUUCCACGGAGGCCAGGCCUGAGUCAGGGACAGGCCUUGAGCACUGCACCUCCCGCGGACAGCAUCUCUCAGGGCGUGCGGGCCUGCAGGCAGGGGCUGACUCGGGGCUCACUGCGCGGGUGUUGAAAGCCCCAGCAAAGAUGAGGAAGAGGCCAAGGGAGGUGGGUGUUCCAGGACAGCCGGGCUCCGCCCCUUUCUGGUCCAGAGGCGGCCAGGGUCCGUGAGAGGUCUGGGCUCCGACCAGAGGCUGGUCUGCUCAGACCGCCACCCCCUUUCCCGACUGCUCUGGGAUCGGGCUGCCAGGAUUCCCGUCCCGCCCUGCUCCCCGGGGCCUGUCACGCGGGGCGGAUUGCUGGGCGGAUUGCUUCAUUUCCCUCUUGGCGCAGUGCCGAUGACCACAGCACCUGCCUCGCCGGGCUGCCGUGUGGAUUAAAUGCACUGAUGCCAUCAGAGAGCCGCGAAUGGGGGCUGCGCUGGGGGGAGGCGUCACUCUGGAGCCGCCCCCCUCCCUGUCCCUCCCACCCCACCUCCCUGUCUCCACCCCACACCCCACCCGGCCCCAUUUUCUUCUUCCCUCCUUCAAAACCAAAAACAAAACCUACGAGCCACUGACCCGGUCAGGUGUGUUUCAUGAGAACAAG